rnacentral:rRNA from 1 species
CCUACGGGUGGCUGCAGUGGGGAAUAUUGCACAAUGGGCGCAAGCCUGAUGCAGCCAUGCCGCGUGUGUGAAGAAGGCCUUCGGGUUGUAAAGCACUUUCAGCGGGGAGGAAGGCGUUAAGGUUAAUAACCUUGGCGAUUGACGUUACCCGCAGAAGAAGCACCGGCUAACUCCGUGCCAGCAGCCGCGGUAAUACGGAGGGUGCAAGCGUUAAUCGGAAUUACUGGGCGUAAAGCGCACGCAGGCGGUCUGUCAAGUCGGAUGUGAAAUCCCCGGGCUCAACCUGGGAACUGCAUUCGGAACUGGCAGGCUAGAGUCUUGUAGAGGGGGGUAGAAUUCCAGGUGUAGCGGUGAAAUGCGUAGAGAUCUGGAGGAAUACCGGUGGCGAAGGCGGCCCCCUGGACAAAAACUGACGCUCAGGUGCGAAAGCGUGGGGAGCAAACAGGAUUAGAUACCCCGGUAGUC